GCAGGCAGGCAGGGAGAUGCCAGGACGUGCACGCUGGAGUCCAGUGGAGCCUGUUAGGUAGAGGGCCACACAGGCAGAUGCCUACAGAAAGAAGCAAGGGAAACUUGGGCAGUUUUCUAUCAGACCACCCGAAAGUUCUGUGAGGAUUCCGGAUGGCCUUGUAGCCAGGAGCUUUCCCUGUCCCACUUCCUGUGCUUCCCACUCCCGCCUCUCCUUCUCUUCUUCCUCAGCCCUUGAUGCCUUCUCACAGGGCCACCUUCCCGAACAUACUCACACCCCCACACCUCCCAACCGUCACAUACCACACAUAUGCUCACCUCAGACCCACACGCUAUGUGUGUAUGCAACAUACACAGACACACAAACACCUUAGGUAUUAGCUGGGCUCCUCCCUGCAAAGUCCUGUUCCUAGAAGCCGCCCAGCCUCCUCUACUCUUCAGUCAGGACUUCCACCUGUGAAGGCCGGCCUUGCUGGCUACUGUGCACUUGAGUUUCCUGGAGGCUCUCCUCCACUCUCUAGUCUCUCAGAAGAUGACAGGGAAGGCUGGGAGGAGCCCCGCUCACUCCCUUCCUGUGCUUAAGGCCGGUACUCCUGAGUUCUAGUUCUAGUUCUCCAGACCCUGGCUAACAUCCAGUCAGAAGGGCAAGUGCGAGCCAGAACUGCUAAGCCCUGGGGAACAGCUGUCCAACUCUCUGAGGUGGGGGCUGCCUUCCUUCUCCAGGACUAGGGCAGAGAGCCUCACUGUGUCUUCUUCCUGUGUAGGAGGAACCCAGGGCGCAUUAAGUCCAGACCUGUAGCUCCAUGCUUCCUCUUCAACCUGAAUAAGCCGACAGCUACCAGCCCCAUGCCCAGCGGGGCAUGGGUGGAAGGGGCGGCUGAGGUGAAGAGCCCACCAGCAGAGCCUAUGGCAGGAGCUCCCAGAAUCCAUGACAGCUGACCUGAGAAGGACUUCAUCCCCUUGAGGGUGCCGGUCUCUGUCUGGAAGAGGCAGCUGAAGAGGUCAGCAGUGCUGAAGUCGUGCCCAUGAAGGCAUUCGCCCAUGAAGGCAUUCGCAUAGGACUGGGCCAUGGUGAACCCUGCAUAGAGCGUUUUUGAGCUCAACGUGUGAUAACGCCACCAUUGAGAGAAACUCACCCAAGGACUGGUCUGCAGCUGCUGAGUCAUAUUUGGUGUUUGCUAUGGGAAUGAACUGCUGCCCAAGAAGAUCAAGUUCACCCCGCAAAGAAAUAUUGCUGAACAGGUCCACUUCCCCCAUAUCUUAAUAACUUUUCUCUUCCACUAUCUCUGCUGGGUGGUGGGCUAGAGGAGGUUGAAACCUUAUUAAAAGCAG